GUGGUAGGAAACAAAAUUAUUCAUGGGGUAUCUAACCUUAUUAGAAAGAGUGGGCUCAAAAGUGGGUUUAGGAAUACCUCUAGUGUGUCGUUCUGGUAGUUGUUCUUUUGUUGGCACCAGAUUAAGAGCAUCCAUGACAGCAGAUGAUUGGUUUGGUGUGUCAACAGGAGGAGUCAUACAAAGUUCGGUCACCACCUCAUAAUGUGAAGUCCCAUUUAUUUCAUUUUCCAUCUCAUCUGUACAACUUGAUUGUAAGUUAUCUGCACAAGAAUUAUCGUUGCUGCAAUUUACCUCCAAAUGGUCUUUCUCAAGAUAUACAUAUUCUUGGCAAUUAUAGUCUAGAGUCUGCAGUUCUUUAUGGUUCUCCCCCUGA
rnacentral:lncRNA from 1 species